rnacentral:rRNA from 1 species
GGGGUACACGAGUGGCGAACGGGUGAGUMMCACGUGGGUAAUCUGCCCUGCACUUCGGGAUAAGCCUGGGAAACUGGGUCUAAUACCGGAUAUGAACUCCUGCCGCAUGGUGGGGGUUGGAAAGUUUUUCGGUGCAGGAUGAGCCCGCGGCCUAUCAGCUUGUUGGUGGGGUAAUGGCCUACCAAGGCGACGACGGGUAGCCGGCCUGAGAGGGUGAUCGGCCACACUGGGACUGAGACACGRHMNAGAHWYMUACGGGAGGCAGCAGUGGGGAAUAUUGCACAAUGGGCGAAAGCCUGAUGCAGCGACGCCGCGUGGGGGGAUGACGGUCUUCGGAUUGUAAACCCCUUUCAGUAGGGACGAAGCGCAAGUGACGGUACCUGCAGAAGAAGCACCGGCUAACUACGUGCCAGCAGCCGCGGUAAUACGUAGGGUGCGAGCGUUGUCCGGAAUUACUGGGCGUAAAGAAGCUCGUAGGCGGUUUGUCACGUCGUCUGUGAAAUCCCUCGGCUUAACCGGGGGGCGKGCAGGCGAUACGGGCAGACUUGAGUACUACAGGGGAGACUGKAAUUCCUGGUGUAGCGGUGAAAUGCGCAGAUWUCAGGAGGAACACCGNUGGCGAAGGCGGGKCUCUGGGUAGUAACUGACGCUGAGGAGCGRAAGCAUGGGUAGCGAACAGGAUUAGAUACCCUG